GACGAACGCUGGCGGCGUGCCUAAUACAUGCAAGUUGAGCGCUGAAGGUUGGUACUUGUACCAACUGGAUGAGCAGCGAACGGGUGAGUAACGCGUGGGGAAUCUGCCUUUGAGCGGGGGACAACAUUUGGGAACGAAUGCUAAUACCGCAUAAAAACUUUAAACACAAGUUUUAAGUUUGAAAGAUGCAAUUGCAUCACUCAAAGAUGAUCCCGCGUUGUAUUAGCUAGUUGGUGAGGUAAAGGCUCACCAAGGCGAUGAUACAUAGCCGACCUGAGAGGGUGGUCGGCCACAUUGGGACUGAGACACGGCCCAAACUCCUACGGGAGGCAGCAGUAGGGAAUCUUCGGCAAUGGACGAAAGUCUGACCGAGCAACGCCGCGUGAGUGAAGAAGGUUUUCGGAUCGUAAAACUCUGUUGGUAGAGAAGAACGUUGGUGAGAGUGGAAAGCUCAUCAAGUGACGGUAACUACCCAGAAAGGGACGGCUAACUACGUG
rnacentral:rRNA from 1 species